rnacentral:rRNA from 1 species
CGCCUGUUUACCAAAAACAUCACCUCUAGCAUUUCCAGUAUGAGAGGCACUGCCUGCCCGGUGACGCUAGUUAAACGGCCGCGGUAUCCUGACCGUGCAAAGGUAGCAUAAUCAUUUGUUCCCUAAAUAGGGACUUGUAUGAACGGCCACACGAGGGCUUUACUGUCUCUUACUUCCAAUCCGUGAAAUUGACCUUCCCGUGAAGAGGCGGGAAUAUAAUAAUAAGACGAGAAGACCCUAUGGAGCUUUAAUUAACCGACCCAAAGAGACCA